AGUUUGAUCAUGGCUCAGAACGAACGCUGGCGGCAUGCCUAACACAUGCAAGUCGAACGAGACCUUCGGGUCUAGUGGCGCACGGGUGCGUAACGCGUGGGAAUCUGCCCUGGGGUGCGGAAUAACUCGGAGAAAUCCGUGCUAAUACCGCAUAAUGUCUUCGGACCAAAGAUUUAUCGCCCUGGGAUGAGCCCGCGUAGGAUUAGCUAGUUGGUGGGGUAAAGGCCUACCAAGGCGACGAUCCUUAGCUGGUCUGAGAGGAUGAUCAGCCACACUGGGACUGAGACACGGCCCAGACUCCUACGGGAGGCAGCAGUGGGGAAUAUUGGACAAUGGGCGAAAGCCUGAUCCAGCAAUGCCGCGUGAGUGAUGAAGGCCCUAGGGUUGUAAAGCUCUUUUACCCGGGAUGAUAAUGACAGUACCGGGAGAAUAAGCUCCGGCUAACUCCGUG
rnacentral:rRNA from 1 species